rnacentral:rRNA from 1 species
UACGUAGGGUGCAAGCGUUAAUCGGAAUUACUGGGCGUAAAGCGUGCGCAGGUGGUGAUGUAAGACAGAUGUGAAAUCCCCGGGCUCAACCUGGGAACUGCAUUUGUGACUGCAUCGCUGGAGUGCGGCAGAGGGGGAUGGAAUUCCGCGUGUAGCAGUGAAGUGCGUAGAUAUGCGGAGGAACACCGAUGGCGAAGGCAAUCCCCUGGGCCUGCACUGACGCUCAUGCACGAAAGCGUGGGGAGCAAACAGG